ACACACUAUGCCUUUUUAAAAAAGAUCGCGAUUUAACAGCAUCAAAUUAAUUGUCGACGCGACAUCGAAAGUUAAUGGAUGGAGAGGGCGCUGAGCUCUGUGACGUCAUACAACAACAAGGGUUUGUUUGAAAAUGGCUGCCUCCAUGGCCUAAGGAACCCUCCUGCACUUACGUUUUCGAUAAAAAUGGCACACAAUCAGGAGGGAUAUUUUUCGUGAUGGUUUUCUGUGAUGAAAUAACAUGACUGGAUGUAGAAGAUAGUGCGCUAUCGCCAUGGCAGGUGUUGGGAACCAGAGAACAUCGGAAAGUCCGACAGACGUCCAGUCCCAGAUUACUGACUACUUGUCUAAAGACGGACUGAACCCACAAUGUGCAGACACAGAGAAACUCCUGUAUCUAUGGCGACUCUACCAGAAUUCACAGACGGACCUGAAGCUGGCGCGGGAGUUGGAGGAGAAGCUGCGACAGUCCCAGUCGGAGGAGAUGAAGGAGGUGGAGAACUAUGUGGAACACAUCCGCCACCUGUCAGACGAGAGAGAGGCUCUCAUACAGGAACUGGAGGGCGAGAACGAGGCUCUCAAGUCGGAGGUCGAACAAUUCAAGGCCAAUGAGAGUGAUGAAAUCCGUAAAGAAACGUCAGAGAUGCUUUCACAGCAGGGACUGGAUGAGAUUGCCAAGGCAACAAGCAGUGAACAGAUUGCCUUUCUUCUGGUGGAACGAGCAAGGCUAUUGGAUGAGCUGGAGGCGGAGCAGAAUAACAGCCAAUCAGGUGACAAGGAUUCAGAGGAGUUGAAGAAGAUCCUGGAACGAGAACGUGACGACUUUGAGGAGGAGAUGCAGCAACUACGACAGCAGGAGAACCGGGCGCGGAGUUCACUGAAGCACGAACACGAGGAGGAGAUUGGAGCACUCAUGGAUGAGAACGCCAAGCUGGAGGACGACCUCAAUUCUUCCAAACAAAAGUUGAAGGAACUUGAAGCUGAGAUAAACAGACUCACCGAUGACCUUGAGAAUGAGCACAACCUGCGUCAGAGCGAACGGGAAGAACGUGAUGAGGAGAGAAGGAAGGAGAAAGAGGAUAGAGAGAAGGAAAGACAAAAGGACAAGGAAUCCCUCAUGGAAAGUCCGCGCCCCCAAAGAGCCGGACUGACGCGCUCGGCCAGUGAUGUGUCUCUCAGGAGGAUCAUAGAGGAGAAAACUAAAAUAGAAGGAGAAAUAAUUCCCCUUCGCAGCAAGAUCCGAAGCAUGGAGACAGAGAUUGGCAAGAAAGAGGAUGAAUUGAAAAAGAUGAAGAAUGAUAUGGAGAAGGGGCUGAUGCAGCAGCAGCAACUCCAGCUGAAGAACAAGAACCUGCGAGCUGAGGCAGAGGAGCUGGAACAACAGCUGGAUGAGGCAGAGUCAAGUGUUGAGAAGUUGUCGACCACCAAUGAGGAACUGUCCACAAAGCUUUCCACUUUACAAGAGGAGGUGAAGGUGCUUAGGUCAGAGUCUCAGAAGGCCUCCACACUCCAGGAUGUUGUAGACAUUAUGAAGAACGACAAACAGAACCUCACGGACAAGAUGGCAACCUUGAAGAAUGACCUUGCUGAAGCUGAGGCUGAAAGGGAGGAAUUAACCAAUCAAAAUACAUUGCUAACAAAGAAAGAAGAUGAACUGACCAAUCACAUAGACUCUCUUAAACAGGCGAUCGAAUUAGCCAAUGAGGAGAGAGAAAAGAUGUGUAGGGACAAGGAUGACCUUUUGGCCUCCCGGGAGGAACAGGAGGGUCAGUUGAGGUCACUUCAUGAGGAGUUGGAAACACUCAAGGCUGAUAAGACGUCUCUGAGUGAAAACACAGAGUCUAUGAGUAAGGACAAUAAGGAACUGACCAAUCAGAUCGCUCAGCUUCAGGAGGAGAUGCAGAAGAACCAGUUAUCACACAGUCAAGAACUUGCCAAACUAGAGAUUAUUUCAUCUCACAUGAGAGAACAGAACCAGAAGCUGACUGGUCAAAUGUCCGACAUCCAGUCAGAACUCAAUGACACGCGAGUCAGUGAGAACACCCUCCUACAAACACAGAAGUCUCUUAUGACCUCAAAUGAUGACUUGGAAAAGAAAUAUAAGCUUGAGAUGGAUGAUAUCACGACCAAGCUGCAGAUGACGCUGUCAGAGUUGACCAAGACACGAACCACCCUUGAACAUGAACAGUGUGAGAAAACAUCUCUCUCUGACAAACUGUCAUUUUCCGAGACCCAAAUCCAUGAACUGACCAAGCUGAGGGCAUCACUUGAACAGGAACGAAAGUCAAAAUCAGAUUUAGAGUCGAAAAUUCAUGAAACUGAGAUGAAGUUAGCGGAAAGGACAAUGGUAGCGGAUGGGUUUGAGGGUGAGCGUAAACAGAGGAUUGAGUUAGAGAGGAAAGUGUUUGAUUAUGGCAAUGUGGAGGAUGAUCUGACAACAGCCAGAGAUAGACUGGAUCAGGAGCGGCGGAUGCGGAACGACCUUGAGGCCAAGGUCCUGGACUUGGAGCAGAUUCUGGAAGACCUGCGGAUGGACAAUGAGAACCUGCAGCACACCAUGGGCAACAAGGUGAAGUCUCUGGAGGCCCGAGUCAGGGCGCUGCAGGAUGAUCUCUUCACAGCGCAGGACGAGCUGCAGAUAGCACAGGAGAAGUAUGAACAGGCUGCAGCAGAGUUGGAGGCGUUGAAGGUGGAGUCAAGGAUUCAGCAGGAGACGCUAUCCCAGCUGCAGAUGAUGCCACCGGCGCCGGCGCCAAUCCAGGUCAACACCAAUGGUCAUAACGUGCACAAGUCACAGGACAUGAUCGACGGGGACAACCGUACCAAUGAUAGUUCCAAAGAUGUUUCUGAGCUUGAGACCAGCCUGGAGCUCUCCAAUGCCAAGCUGCAGGAGACGUUCGGUGCCCUGCAGACCUCCUCCAACAAGGUGAGUCAGCUGCAGCAGGAUCUUCGGUCAUCCAAUCAGAAGCUGGAGCAGCUGCAACAGGAUCUCCGGUCAUCCAAUCAGAAGCUGGAGCAGCUGGAGCGAGACUUCCAGCAUGCUGAAAAGUCACUUGAAAAUGCUGAAACCCAACUUGCCGAGACAAAGAAAGAACUCGCUCAAGUGGUGAGUUCUCGCGACGAGGUAGAAUCUCGGAUGCUGGAGUUGAGACAGGAGGUUGAGGCUGUGACUCGUGAGCGAGAUGGGUGUAAACGGGAGACGGAGCUUGCAAAGACAGCCAAUCAGUAUGGCUCGGAGGAGAGACAGAAGCAUCUGGACAGGAUCAAGACUGUGGAAGAAAUCUCGCGACAACUGGAGCUGGAUAAUAGAGAGAUGGCCAAAAAGUUGUCUGAGACCAUGGCACAAUGUGACACCUUGAAGGAUGAGCUCCACACAGAGAGACAGAGAGGUACAGAGAAGCACAGCCAGAAUGUGCGCUACAUCCAGCAGCUGGAGGCGGACCUGGACGUGGCCCGCGAGCAGAACAGGCAGCUGCGGGAGGAGCUCCACACACAUCAGACUCGGGUGUUCAAGCUGGAGGCCAAUGGGGUCGGACAGUCGGCGAAGUACGAAAGCACCAUCACGCGUAGGGAGAUGGAGUUGAAGGAGGUGAAGUUGUACCACAAGAAGGAGCUGGCGUCGUUGACGGAGAAGUUGGACAUUGCUGCCGCUGAGGCCAGGGACAUGAGGAGCCAGCUAAGGGAACGAGAACAGGAACUCCUGAAGCAGCAGAGCGACACUUCCAGGAGCAGGUCCACGGUUGACCGCCUCGAGGCCCAACUCAACACCGAGGUCAAACUCAGGACGGACUAUGAGAACAGAAACCAGGCCCUUGACCAGGAGAUGACCAAGGUAUGGAGCCAGGUCCGGACGCUGAUGGAGAAGAACGCCAACCUGGAGAACACAAAGAGGAGUCUGGAGGAUGAACUGGAUAGGAGAAGUAGCAGCUCAAGGCAGGCGGAGAAUGUGUACGCCCAGACCUCCGCCAGUCAGGAGGCCACCAUGAAAUCACUGUACAAUAGGACAGAAACUGCAGAACUGAAGGUUACAGAACUCUCUCUCCAACCUUUAAUUACCAAAGCGGAGAAGCUCCAGAGGGAGCUGCAGGAUGUGUCGGUGAAGAUGCACAGCACAGAACAGAACCUCCUCCAGGCUGAGUCCACCAAGCAGGACAUGCAGGACAAGAGUGAUCACAUCGUCAGCCUCCGCAACCAGCUGGAAGGGGAAAAGCUACAGAGGACCCUGCUGGACCAGACAGUGGCGGAGCUGAAGCACCAGGUGGCAAUCUUGAAACAGCGAGAGACGAAGCUGGUAGAAGAGAACAGAUCUCUGCAGCACAGUAUGAUUGACCUUGAGUCUCAAGUGGAAGAGCUUCAGGACCGGAGUGACACAGCGUAUGACAUGCACCACCAAAUGUCAGAGGUCGGCAAGAAGACACUGCUUGAACAAAUAACCCGACUGCAAAAGGAAGUGAAGGAACUUCAGUAUGAACUGCUCUCCACCAAUGAGAAGCGAGGACAUGCAGAGAAACGCUACGAAGAUCGCAAGUUGAGAACAAAAGAGAAGUUGCUUAAAGCAAGAGAAUUCUAUUCCCACGAAAAAACACGAAUGAAUGAUCAGAUGACCCGAAUGGAUGAAGAUCUACGACUAACACGAGCAACAUUACGAAAAGAGCUGGAAUGGAAGGAAAAGAUGGACAUCAAUUAUAAACAGUUGCUGCAGGAGAAGCGCAACCUCAUCACUCAGUCACUUGACUAUUUACAGGAUGACGGAGGUGGAAGAGACAGUCCGCGAUCGAACUCGCUCCCUCUCCAUGUUACAAGUGCGUACCAAAUUCUUAGAGGAGGAGACCUCGAGACUACAGGACCAUGUCGACACUCUUUCUCAGCAGAAACACAGUUUAGAUAGGCUUGUCAAAGAUCUGCGCCUCGGCAAGGAUCGAGAUUAGUGCAGCUGUCAGGUUGCACGGGCUUACCCUACGGAUGAGCAUGCAGGGAGUUUCACAAGGGGAACAAGUGGAAUCGGAAACAGCAUAAACUCCAGCUGGGACCAGGACCACCUGUCGGAUGCCAUGUUGACGAUGCGAAGUUCCUC
rnacentral:misc_RNA from 1 species